rnacentral:rRNA from 1 species
UACGAAGGGGGCAAGCGUUGUUCGGAAUGACUGGGCGUAAAGGGCGCGUAGGCGGUUCGUUGCGUCAGAUGUGAAAGCCCCGGGCUCAACCUGGGAACUGCAUUUGAUACGGGCGAGCUUGAAUCCAAGAGAGGGUGGUGGAAUUCCCAGUGUAGAGGUGAAAUUCGUAGAUAUUGGGAAGAACACCAGUGGCGAAGGCGGCCACCUGGCUUGGUAUUGACGGCUGAGGCGCGAAAGCGUGGGGAGCAAACAGG